UUAACCGGGAAAAUGAAUCCUGAAAUUUCUGGUUGGACCAAGAGGUAAUUUCUGUUUCCGUAUACCAUGCAGUAGUUGAUGCAGAGUAUUUGUGCAUCCAAAUAGCAACAUGAAUGUGGUGUUAGUAGUUUCUCAAUUUCAGUGUCGGAAAAAUUAUGUGGUUAUUUUUGUAGCAUUUCUGAUGGACCGAUUUUGUGUUGGAGGCCGGUGAUUGGGGCAGGGCUGCAACUCCUAACAGGGCACCAUGCCCUACAAGGGUACAAGUGGCUCACGACUUGAUGGCAUGGUUGGGGCUGGAAUGACGAAGAAGAUUAAUGGGGUGGAUGAUGAGCAUGCUACAACCUGAAUGACAAACAAAAACAUUUAGAUUGGGACACAGAAGAGAGAUGAGGAGGAAGAAAGCAUGAACAAUUCAAGUGAAAGAGAGAAAGAACAUGGACACCCCAAGUCUCUCGGAUUGAUAUGAACAGCUCAGGUCCUCCUGCCAUGGUGCCUGACCCUGAGUUUGCCAACCCCACAUCUAAGUUCCCUGCCAGUUGUGGUGACAAUCUAAUGGGAAUAAGUGCCAGGGACGAGGAAAUGUGGAGACUUGAGGUAACUGCUAUAGCGGUGGUAGGAUCUUGUAUGGAGAAUAGCAGGAGUAAUGUUUGAAUCCUACUAUAGGCAGUGCCUUGCUAUGAAUGGCUGCGACGACGGGCGGGUAUUGGAGUUCAUUGUGGUAUGCACGAUGGAUGUGUGGUCCGUGGAGUGAAGAUCCAUCUAGCAUGAAUUUUUUCGUUCUUCUGUUGGCAAGUAAUCCUAAGACUUUUUUUCCGGGUGAAUACUAAAACUAAUUACCCUACACAAUUCACACUUUUUAUAUUCUUAUGGCACCUAAGUAUAUCUGUAAUUGAAAAAAUGUUCAGAAUUUACUGUAUGAAGGGCGCAUAUAAAUGUUAUUCAGUUUUAUUUGUAGAGAUGCUUGCUGGUAUUUCGUAUUCAUUUCAAGAUUUUAGUAGGGUAUAUGCCUAUAAUUCUUGCUCUCCAUGCUUGCUGAAAUUUUAGUAGCACUCAAUAACACGUCAUGUUUGGCGCACAUGUUCAUGACGUGAAGUAGGUUGUUAUUCUGUAGCAUCCCAAAGUGUAUUGGGCAUCACAACAAUAUGUAUCCCGUUGCAGUGCAUGGGCUUAAAAAUAAUUCUUCAACUUUUUGUUAGUGUCAAAUUGAAUUAUUAGAACAACAAUUGAAUAUAUGUUAUUUAGGCUAACAUACCAAAUUAUUUAGGCUUCCUGUAAUUAUUUGUUUUCAGGAAACAACAUGUGCCAAUGCAACAUAUUCUGUUGUGUCUAUAACUACCUCGCUGUUUUGAACAAUAGACAUCAAAGCUCUCGGAUAUAUGUUUCUUUCUACAACCUGCUUGAACCUAUGAAAGACACUUUGUAGCCUAAUCACAAGAGAUUUAAAAAUACUGUUGCUGACCUAUGAAAGACACUUUGUAGCCUAAUCCAUCUCAAAGAUAU